UACGUAGGGAGCAAGCGUUGUUCGGAUUUACUGGGCGUAAAGGGCGCGUAGGCGGCGCGGUAAGUCACUUGUGAAAUCUCUGAGCUUAACUCAGAACGGCCAAGUGAUACCGCAGUGCUAGAGUGCAGAAAGGGCAAUCGGAAUUCUUGGUGUAGCGGUGAAAUGCGUAGAUAUCAAGAGGAACACCUGAGGCGAAGGCGGGUUGCUAGGCUGACACUGACGCUGAGGCGCGAAAGCCAGGGGAGCAAACGGG
rnacentral:rRNA from 1 species